AAAAGAGGAGAGUUAGUUACGUGCAGGGCUCAGUUAGUUACAUUCCUUUAUAUUUUACAGUUUAGUCCUUCAUUUAAAUAUGGCAGAAGUGGAUUAAUUGCUAAUUAACCCCUUUUUUAUUUCUGAUUUCACACUUUUAGUCCUCGGUCCUUUUGGAAAUGAGAAGCACGUUAUAUGUAUUUCCCUUUGCCGUUUGCUGAGUACGAAUGAGAAUGUUAGCUUAUUAGUUUACUUCCUUGUAGCUAGCUUAAUUUCUUCUCUUCAAUUUGCUCGAAUUAUCUCCACUCGUAUCAGUAGUAUCAGAGCCUGAUCCUCGCACUGUGGAUUAAGCUCAUCAAUGGUGUCCCAAAUUUCUAAAGUUCUAACUAGGUUGGAUAAAAUUGCUACAGAGGUGGCAACCUUUGCAGAUAGACAGGGUCAGAUGGAAGCAGUAUAACGAGGGAUCAUAUCGGGAAUUUCACGAGUCUAUUGAUGGAGGUCGCAAAGCAGGGAAGGAUAAGUUGCAGGUGAUCCAUAAGGAAGACAGUCGAGUUGUAUUCACCUACUACAGGUCCUGCUUUUGGAUCGUAUAGACGAUAAACCCAGAUCUCAGAUGGAUCUUCAUCGCAGAGUGAAGGUCAAACUCCUCCAGCUCCUUAUAUACCUAAGACAGCAACACCCAAACCACAAUUCGAAACCCCAAUCCAAUUUACUAAUAUCCAAAAUCCAGCUCCCUUUGCUUCAACCCAAAGACCUAACUCGGUUUAAUUCGACCCAAACUCCUCUACACAACCCAAUACCACACCAAAUUCUGACAUCUAUGUUGUUUACAACUAGUCAAUUUCAAUACUCUAUCUCAGCUCCACAAUACCCCUAUAACCAAUUCCCUGCACAAUUCCCAAAUGUAUACAUGCCCAAUUCCUAUCCUCAACAAAUGCCUUCACCACCACUAGGAUAUCAUUCUCUAACUAAGUAUUUUAAAAUCAAAUUUCCUAGAUUUGAUGGAAAGGGUUUUCGAGAUUGGUGGUAUAAGGUGGAACAGUUUUUUUUUUUUCAUUAGAUGAGGUACAACCCCACCAGAAAGUGUUUGUAGCAUCCAUUCACUUUGAUGACUUAGCUAUUCAAUGGCAUCGGGCUUACAUGCAUAGUAGGUUACAUCUUCCACCCCCAAGUUGGGAGGAAUAUAUCAUGGCUUUAUCAGAUAGGUUUGGUAAAAUAUGAUGAUCUUAUCAGUGAAUUGCUAAGAAUUAAACAAGCUGGUACUGUAAUUGAAUUCCAAGAGAACUUUGAUAGAGCCAUGACAAGAUUGAACCUAAACCCUAAUCUUGCUAUUAGUGUUUUUUUAGAGGGUCUCAAACCUAAAUUAGGAGAUGAUGUAUGACUACAUUGACCCUAUUCUCUUCCUCAACCAUGUUGCUAGACUCUAAGAAUGUAGUUUCGUUAAGCAAGCAAAGGCCAUGGAGAGCCCUGCUUAUUCUAACACCACUUAUAACAGAACUCAAACACCCAUAUCAGCUUAUAGCCACUAUAAACCAAACACUAAUUUAAAUACUCACCUACCAAAACCUCAAACUAACACCAUUGUUCCUACGAACCCAACUAGAAAGAGGAGACUGAGUCCAGCUAAACUCAAUAAUAAAAAGGCUAAAGGAUUGUGCUAUCUAUGUGAUGAGAAAUUCCUUCCAGGCCAUGUGUGUAAAGCUAAGUCCUAAUUAUAUCUCUUAGAGCUGGAAGAGGAAGGAAAGGCUAAAUCAGAAACUGAGGACGAAAUGGUAUAGACUUGUGAAGUCUCAAUCUAUGUUGUAACUGGUCUUAUGGACUAUAGAACACUAAGAUUGACUGGCUAUUGUCAUAAGAUACCACUUAAUAUAUUAAUUGAUACAGGAUCCACUUAUAAUUUCCUAGAUAUUAAAUUAGCAAGUAGGAUGGGAUGGGGAUUAGAUUCUUGUAAUAUGUUAGAUGCCAAACUGGCAGAUGGAAACAUUUCCAUUUCUGGUAUGUGUAAAGGGUUGGAAUGGGUGUCAUACAAGGCUGACAUGUUGGUGUUUCCCCUAGGUACUUGUGGAUGGUUUUGGGGUGUCAAUGGUUAAGUGAACUGGAGAUAUCACUUUUAAUUUCAAGGAACUAUGUAACAUCUUGUAAAUUCGAGUCGGGUAUGGAUGUACGAAAACCAGUAUUAAGUUGAUAUUUUAGCCAUAUGAAUCCAUUUGGGAUGAAUUCGAGUGAUAAACAGUCGUUUUGAAGUCAAACCAAAAAGUGAAGUUCUUAAGGCCUUCUAAAUUCGUCUAAGUCUGAGACAGUCUGUACUUAUGGACAGUUUCGGGUAUUUGCAUUAGGAAUUUAAGAAAACUCAAAACAUGAAAGUUGUAUCCAUUUAAAAUAUCUUUCCACGAUAUAUUAUGGAGCUCAAACGAAGCUCUUUGCUAGGAGUAGGAUGUACUUAAAAUAGCCCAAAUGGACGGGGAAGCUAGCCGAGCGCGGCUCAAAGCAAGGUAUGAGCUCUCCAUAGGCCUCUCUCAGCGAGAUGUCAGGUUUAAAAUGUCCAGACCUAUAAAUAAGACCCUUGGACGAUUUUAUGUCAUUUUUCACAUUCCAGACUAUGUUCUAAACCCUAUUUUGGAGAGAAAGCAACCCUAAGGCCUCCCCAAAUCUCUAAGGUAAGUUCUUACUCAAACCUCAUUAUUAUUACCUCAAUCUAACAAAGACUAACAAUAGAAAUCUCACCUAUUCCAUAGAUUGUGAGAAUUCGAUUCAAGAACGGUUGAAGAGGAGAAUUGUUGGAAUUUCGUCGUGAGUGUCACUGUUGAACCUCGAAAAAUCCGUUUGGUGGAGAUAUAGCGGGAAUAGAGGUAUGUCUCUUUUUGAACAUACUCUUUUAAAACGAUUUGUGUGACUUUGGUUGUGGUUUGUGUGCAUGAGGGACAAGCCCACAUUAAACCUUGUUUGUACUAUAAUAUAUAUACGUAUUCAUGAUUGUUUUCCUCUCUACAGGAUGAUUAAAGAUUCAGAAAUAAAGCUUUGGUAUUUGAACUCGAAUUACCCUUAAGGGAUGUUUAAACUUGCUAUUUGGAAAGCUUGAUUAUCUCAUGUGAAGGCUUUAUAAAUGAAUUGUGUUGAAUGUGAAACUUGUUUAAAAAAGUGAAUCUGUUUUCUAAAACUGAAAUGAAUUGAUGUAUCCCUAUAAUGGGAAGAUGAACCUAAUCCAUGAGGAAUAAUUUGGCUAUCAUGAUAUAACUUGGGAUUCGGCUUCUUUGCCAUGAUUGAUGAUUCGGCUAAUAUGCUAUGAUUUGUAUCUUAUUUGUGUUUGUGCCUGUAUGGGCAAGCUGUGCUAGUCCAGAGGACGAUUAGCCGUUAUGGAUCCUAACGUAUCGAUACGAAUAUUGUUGUGUCAGUCCAGAGGAUGAUUGACCUCUGAGGUGUAUAACCCGUUGCAUCUAUUGCUGUGCCACUCCAGAGGACGAUUGACCUCCGAGGCAUAUAGGCCGGUGCAUCUAUUGAUGUGGUAGUCCAGAGGACGAUUAGCCUCCGUGGUUUCCUAGCCCGGAGUAUCGAUUGUUUGAUCGCUUGUGAGUGGCUUGUUGAUGAUAUUAGUCUCAAAUGGGAAGUCUCAAAUAGUAAUAAAUAGUAUACUGAAUCGGAAAAGAUAUAUACUUGUCUUGAUGGUUUUCUAUUGAUGAUUUUGAGUUGUGCGAUUGAUCUUGCCUUUGGUUUCAAAUUAUUUUAUUGGAACUGUUUUCACUUAUCAUUAUUGUAUUAUUUUGUUAUAUUACUUAUUGUCCCCGAGACACUCACUGAGUACCCAGCACUCAGGCAUACCAUUAUUGUUUUUGAUGGUAUGUUAGUAACGAAGAAGAGUAGGCACAGACAGAUCUCGCGAAUUAGGAGUACUUGCUGCUUUCCAGAUUGUUAGUGAGCUCACACCUUUGUUCGUGAGUUUUCAUUAAGUCAAUUAUUAUUUCUUAGCAGUUUAGGUUGUAUUCUAAGUUAGUUUAUUUUCUUAGAAGCUCCAUAGAUAGUUAUAAACUUAUGGGUAGCGUCCUGUAUGUCUCUUAUGGUUUAUGGAGGCAUGUUGCCACGUUUUAAUUUAAAUGUUGAAUAAGACUUCCGCUAAUUUUUAUUUCAUAAA